GAGCGGCCCGUGCAGCCCCGGGCGUCAGCCGGGGCGAGCCGGUGGCUCCUCCCGCCGAACGGGCCGGGGCGGGAUGUAGGGCGCUGGGCGCGGAGGCCGCCGGCGCGGCGGGGUGUGCGCGGAGGGCGCGCCGAGGAUGGAGAGAGCGAUGGAGCAGCUCAACCGCCUGACGCGUUCGCUGCGCCGCGCGCGCACCGUCGAGCUGCCCGACGAUAAUGAAACUGCUGUUUAUACAUUAAUGCCAAUGGUUAUGGCUGAUCAACACAGGUCUGUUUCUGAGCUACUAUCAAAUUCGAGGUUUGAUGUCAAUUAUGCAUUUGGACGUGUGAAAAGAAGCUUGCUUCACAUUGCAGCAAAUUGUGGAUCGGUGGAAUGCUUGGUUCUGCUCUUAAAGAAAGGAGCGAAUCCUAACUAUCAAGAUAUUUCAGGCUGUACGCCCCUUCAUUUGGCAGCUCGAAAUGGGCAGAAGAAAUGCAUGAGUAAAUUAUUAGAAUACAGUGCUGAUGUCAACAUUUGUAAUAAUGAAGGCCUUACAGCAAUACACUGGCUGGCUGUGAAUGGGCGGACAGAACUACUCCAUGACCUUGUACAACACGUCAGUGACGUCGAUGUUGAGGAUGCGAUGGGGCAGACAGCACUGCAUGUGGCCUGCCAGAAUGGUCAUAAGACGACAGUGCAGUGCUUGCUAGACAGUGGUGCUGAUAUUAACAGGCCAAAUGUAUCUGGAGCCACUCCAUUGUACUUUGCCUGCAGUCACGGUCAGAGAGACACAGCACAGAUUCUCCUGUUACGAGGAGCCAAAUAUCUGUCAGAUAAAAAUGGAGUAACGCCUCUGGAUUUAUGUGUACAGGGUGGCUAUGGAGAGACUUGUGAAGUAUUAAUUCAGUAUCACCCUAGGCUUUUCCAGACAAUUAUUCAAAUGACACAGAAUGAAGAUCUCCGAGAAAACAUGUUACGACAAGUUCUGGAACAUUUGUCUCAGCAAAGUGAAAGCCAGUACCUGAAGAUUCUAACAAGCCUUGCUGAAGUUGCCACAACAAAUGGCCAUAAACUGCUUAGCUUGUCUAGUAAUUAUGAUGCUCAAAUGAAGAGCCUUUUAAGGAUUGUGAGGAUAUUUUGUCAUGUCUUUCGAAUUGGUCCAUCCUCUCCCAGUAAUGGAAUCGAUUUGGGCUACAAUGGGAAUAAAACUCCAAGAAGCCAGGUGUUCAAGCCUCUUGAAUUGCUUUGGCACUCGUUAGAUGAAUGGCUAGUUUUAAUAGCUACAGAAUUGAUGAAAAACAAGAAGGAUUCAACGGAUAUCACUUCUAUUUUGCUGAAACAAAAAGGCCAAGAUCAAGAUGGUACUUCCAUUCCUCCAUUUGAACCUCCAGGACCUGGGAGCUAUGAAAAUCUAUCCACUGGCACAGGGGAAUCUAAACCAGAUGCUCUUGGAGGGAAACAGGAAGCCAGUGCAGACUGUCAGGAUGUUAUUUCUAUGACAGCUAACCGGCUAAGUGCUGUCAUUCAAGCCUUUUACAUGUGCUGUUCUUGUCAGAUGCCCCCAGGAAUGACUUCACCCCGUUUCAUUGAAUUUGUCUGCAAACAUGAUGAAGUUUUAAAAUGCUUUGUUAAUAGAAAUCCCAAAAUUAUAUUUGACCACUUUCACUUCCUCCUUGAAUGUCCUGAGUUGAUGUCAAGAUUCAUGCAUAUCAUAAAAGCACAGCCAUUUAAAGAUCGCUGUGAAUGGUUCUAUGAACAUUUGCAUUCAGGACAACCAGAUUCAGACAUGGUGCACAGGCCAGUGAAUGAAAAUGAUAUCCUGCUGGUUCACAGAGAUUCUAUUUUUAGGAGUAGCUGUGAAGUUGUGUCAAAAGCAAAUUGUGCAAAGCUAAAGCAAGGAAUUGCUGUACGGUUCCAUGGAGAAGAAGGCAUGGGUCAAGGUGUUGUGCGUGAGUGGUUUGAUAUUCUGUCUAAUGAGAUAGUCAAUCCUGAUUAUGCAUUGUUUACCCAGUCAGCUGAUGGAACAACUUUUCAGCCUAAUAGCAACUCCUAUGUAAAUCCUGAUCACUUGAACUAUUUCCGGUUUGCUGGACAGAUCUUGGGAUUAGCUUUAAACCACAGGCAGCUGGUCAACAUUUACUUUACAAGAUCAUUCUAUAAGCACAUUCUUGGUAUUCCUGUAAAUUACCAGGAUGUGGCAUCCAUUGAUCCAGAAUAUGCCAAAAAUUUGCAGUGGAUUUUAGAUAAUGAUAUUAGUGAUCUAGGUCUAGAACUAACCUUUUCUGUUGAAACUGAUGUGUUUGGAGCAAUGGAAGAGGUGCCUUUGAAACCUGGGGGUGGAAGUAUUCUUGUGACACAAAAUAACAAAGCGGAGUACGUCCAGCUUGUUACUGAACUUCGGAUGACAAGAGCCAUUCAGCCUCAGAUCAAUGCUUUUUUACAGGGCUUUCAUAUGUUCAUUCCACCUUCUCUCAUACAACUUUUCGAUGAAUAUGAAUUGGAACUACUGCUCUCUGGCAUGCCAGAAAUUGAUGUGAGCGAUUGGAUAAGAAAUACAGAAUACACAAGUGGCUAUGAAAGAGAAGAUCCAGUUAUUCAGUGGUUUUGGGAAGUUGUGGAAGACAUUACUCCAGAGGAGAGAGUUCUUCUCUUGCAGUUUGUUACUGGCAGCCCUGAAUUCCCUAUCUCUGGUCAUAGGAUGUUUCUUUACCUCCUGCUACAGGGAGAGUACCUCUUACAAUUCCAGGGUCCCACAUGGUGGAUUUGCUAAUAUCAUGGGUGGAAGUGGACUGCAAAACUUUACAAUUGCUGCUGUGCCAUAUACUCCAAAUCUCCUACCAACUUCAAGCACAUGCAUCAACAUGCUCAAGUUACCUGAAUACCCAAGUAAAGAAAUACUCAAGGACAGACUUCUUGUGGCACUACACUGUGGCAGCUAUGGUUACACAAUGGCUUAAGUCUGGAAAAUUCGUCUGAUUACUGAUGCGCAAUUCCAAGUGGCAGAAAUAAUUUAGGAAACUGUCAACAGAAAAGGAGCCUAAAUGCAGCCCACAGGCAGGGGUGAUGUUUAAAAUUCAUAAAGGAUGACGCUUUCUACUCUCCUCUCCCUGCUUCCUUUUUUUGUUUUCUCUUUGUGAUACAAUUAGAAAAUAUAAAAUCACAGUAGUCUUCAAUUUAAAAAAUGCUAAUUGAAAGUAGUAGAAACUGUCCUUUUUCAUAUUUCUUUACUCGUAUCCAAGAUCGUGUCAAGGCAAAACCGUAUUCUACAUUCCACCUACACUAUGUAACUGUCUUGUUAAAAGGGUGUUUUCUCUUUAUUUUCCUAUAUAUUAAAUUAUAUUAGGACAUCCAGCCUGGUAUGUUCUAUUGCAUGUAAAGUGCCGUUUAUAUUUUGGAAAACUAUUGUAUAGAAUGGAUUAAUUUAGAUUGUGUAUAAAGCCACAAAUAUGUAUUUUCCCAUAUUGAAUCUAUAUUGCAAUGAUGUUUUUUAGCUUUUUAAUAUUUUAAUAUAUAAAGUUUAGACUGAUGUGACUAACAGCUGAUGAAAUGACAUUUAAUUUAUAUAUUAAAGCUUAUAUUGUAUGAA